GACGAAGGGGGCUAGCGUUGUUCGGAAUUACUGGGCGUAAAGGGCGCGUAGGCGGCGCAUUUAGUCAGGCGUGAAAGCCCCGGGCUUAACCUGGGAACUGCGCUUGUUACUGGCAGACUGGAGUGUGGCAGAGGGGGGUGGAAUUCCAGGUGUAGCAGUGAAAUGCGUAGAUAUCGGUAGGAACACCAGUGGCGAAGGCGGUCUCCUGGAGCAGACUUGACGCUGAGGCGCGAAAGCUGGGGGAGCGAACGGGG
rnacentral:rRNA from 1 species